GGGUGGGUGGAUGGAUGGGUGAAUGGAUGGAUGGGUGAAUGGGUGGAUGAAUGGAUGGAUAGAUGGAAAGGUAGAUGAAAAAUAGAUGAUAGAUAGAUAGAUAGAGAUAAUAGAGAGAGAGAGGGAUAGAGGAAUAAGGAACUGCUCUAGGGUCUGUGGCAGCUGAGCCGUCCCAGAGACAGUUGGCCGUGGGAGCUGCACUCCACUGGGGGCAGAAGAGUGAAGUGCCCUGCUCAGAAGCCAGGCAGAGUGGCUCUCCAAUGCUCAGCCCUUCCUCUGUCCAGGCCCUGAGCAGAUGUGAUGAGGCCCUACACUGGGGAGGCAUGCAUGUUGCCAAGUGUACUGGUCAAAUGCCAAUCUCAUCCAGAAACACCCUCCCAAACACAUCCAGAAAGGGUUUCAUCCGGCCAUCUCAUAGCCCCAUCAAGUUGACUCAAACCAAUGGCACUGACCUCUCCUCCUCCAUGCUGGCUGCUGCCCCCACUCCUCACAGGGCAGGCAGAUGGUCCUCAGUGGGACCACUGCCAUCCAGAUGGCGCUUGCCCUCCACCCUCCACCAUGAAGACCCACCCACACCUGCCUAAAGUCCUUAUAAGCCAUGCAGUGCCUUGGAGUGCUCACCCCAUCAUGCCCCCAUCUCCCCCAAGUCCCUAAGAGAAGUCACCACCUCUUUCUGGCCUCGGAGCACCAGGUUCUUCCUGCCAAGGUGCUGAUGGUGAGACCUGCUCUCCUGGCUGGGGCUCCAGGCAAGCCAUGGGGCAACUCUCCUGUCCUGGGGACGUGGCACCAAUUUAAAGGUCCGCUAAGCCUGUCUUCUCACAAGUUUCAGUAGGAGAAACCUUUCCUCAAAGAGGAGGCUUUCCCGGGAAACAGGAGGCUGUCCAAGGAGGACCUGCGGGCAGGCGGGGGUGCAGGCAGGGCAGCCCCUCCUCAGGACAGUCAAGGCGAUCAUGUUUUGCGUUUCUUCUUUCUUUAAAUUUACAAGAUCCAAAGGGGGGUGAUGGGUAACGUGAGAGUACUCUGCUUGUCUUCAACGCAGCUUCUGUCCAAAAAAGGUAAUUAUUGACUCUUCCUCUUCUGUUUUUCUGCCCGUUUGCUCUUGUUCCCCGUGUCAUUGCCUGGAU
rnacentral:lncRNA from 1 species